CAGUCGCCGCGGUAAUACGUAGGUCCCGAGCGUUGUCCGGAUUUAUUGGGCGUAAAGCGAGCGCAGGCGGUUAGAUAAGUCUGAAGUUAAAGGCUGUGGCUUAACCAUAGUACGCUUUGGAAACUGUUUAACUUGAGUGCAAGAGGGGAGAGUGGAAUUCCAUGUGUAGCGGUGAAAUGCGUAGAUAUAUGGAGGAACACCGGUGGCGAAAGCGGCUCUCUGGCUUGUAGCUGACACUGAGGCUCGAAAGCGUGGGGAGCAAACAGGAUUAGAUACCCGAGUAGUCCCUGUCUCUUAUACA
rnacentral:rRNA from 1 species